GGCUUCCUGGGGGUUGACCCGCGCACGAGGUCCUCACCGCCCGAGGUCCGCGCGGCGCUGCGUGUUUGGCGUCCCGCGGCGGCCGGGGCCUCCAUGGACCGUCCAGCGCCCCCUCAUGCGUCUCCCCCUUUCUGCUCGCGCUCACCCUAAACCCCGCAGCGCUCACCUGCGUCCUCGCACCGGCCGGGUGCCGGUGCGGCCCGAGCCGCUCUCGAGGGGUCGAAUUCCGGGUCUGCAGGAGGCGGGUCUUCUUCGAACUCUAUGUCCCGGUGUCCUCAUCAAAAGGGGAAAUCUGGACACAGAGACAGGCACACACAGAAGAAAGAAGAUGUGAAGACACAGAAAUCACCAUGUGAAGAUGGAGGCAGAGAUCAGAGGGAUGUAUCUACAAGCCCAGGAACACCAGAGAUCUCCAGCAACCCCCAAAGCUGAGAGAGAGGCCUGAAGAGAUUCUCCCUCAGGACCAGCCUUGCUGACACCUUGAUCUUGGACUUCUAGCCUCUAGAACUGUGAGACAAUAAAUGUCUGUUGUUUAAGUCC